GGGGAAUUAGCUCAGUUGGGAGAGCGCGGCGUUCGCAAUGCUGAGGUCAGGGGUUCAAGUCCCCUAUUCUCCACCA
rnacentral:tRNA from 1 species